UACGUAGGGUGCAAGCGUUGUCCGGAAUUAUUGGGCGUAAAGAGCUCGUAGGCGGUCUGUCGCGUCGGCUGUGAAAUCCCGAGGCUCAACCUCGGGUCUGCAGUCGAUACGGGCAAACUAGAGUAUUGCAGGGGAGACUGGAAUUCCUGGUGUAGCGGUGAAAUGCGUAGAUAUCAGGAGGAACACCCAUGGCGAAGGCAGCAAACUGGUCCGUAUCUGACGCUGAGGCGCGAAAGCGUGGGUAGCAAACAGG
rnacentral:rRNA from 1 species